rnacentral:rRNA from 1 species
ACAACGCCGCGUGCANUGAUGAAGGCUUUCGGGUCGUAAAACUCUGUUGUUAGGGAAGAACAAGUGCUCAGUUGAAUAAGCUGGCACCUUGACGGUACCUAACCAGAAAGCCACGGCUAACUACGUGCCAGCAGCCGCGGUAAUACGUUAGGUGGCAAGCGUUAUCCGGAAUUAUUGGGCGUAAAGCGCGCGCAGGUGGUUUCUUAAGUCUGAUGUGAAAGCCCACGGCUCAACCGUGGGAGGGUCAUUGGAAACUGGGAGACUUGAGUGCAGAAGAGGAAAGUGGAAUUCCAUGUGUAGCGGUGAAAUGCGUACAGAUAUGGAGGAACACCAGUGGCGAAGGCGACUUUCUGGUCUGUAACUGACACUGNAGGCGCGAAAGCGUGGGGAGCAAACAGGAUU